GUAAUUUAUUAAAUUUACGUGUACGAGUAAAUGGCAAUUUUUUUUAAUUUAGUAAAAAGAGUUAGUCAAGUCUCAAUUACAAUUAUUAAAGUAUUAUUUAAGGAAUGUUGGCGACCGACCGAGGUUAUGUCAUAGAAUUAUUUGCGUAUUAAUUAGUCGUCGGCUAUUGCGAUGUAUUGAUAUCCAAUUAACAUUUGAAGAGAAUAUUUCAAAAAUACAAAUCAUCGGUCCACGCAGAACACUCGUAAUGUGAUAAUAUACCAG